rnacentral:rRNA from 1 species
UACGUAGGGGGCGAGCGUUGUCCGGAGUUACUGGGCGUAAAGGGCACGCAGGCGGUGCGGCGCGUUUCGCGUGACAGCGGAGGGCUUAACUCUCCGAGGAUGCGAAAGACGGCGGCACUUGAGGGCCAGAGAGGGACACGGAAUUCCGGGUGGAGUGGUGAAAUGCGUGGAGAUCCGGAGGAACACCGAAGGCGAAGGCAGUGUCCUGGCUGGUGACUGACGCUGAGGUGCGAAAGCUAGGGUAGCAAACGGG